UGGACAUUGGGGAGGGUAUGUGCUAUGAUACUUCUCAAGCUUUCCUGUCCUCCGGGAAGGAUCAGCACAAGCAUGUGAACAGGCAUGUCACUCUCUGCCUCCCAGCCUGAGGGAAAUGAUGUAUAUAACCUGGCACUUUCAACCUGGCUGGGAUGCCCACAGGUUGGACUGAGGCAACAGAUCUAUGCCGCCAUGCAGUAAUAUUAUGGAAAUAAAGGUAAUCCACAGCU